GAUGAACGCUGGCGGCGUGCUUAACACAUGCAAGUCGAGCGAAGCACUUUUUUAGAACUCUUCGGAGGGAAGAGAGGGUGACUUAGCGGCGGACGGGUGAGUAACGCGUGGGCAACCUGCCUUACACAGGGGGAUAACAAUUAGAAAUGAUUGCUAAUACCGCAUAAGACCACAGCAUUGCAUGAUGCAGUGGUAAAAACUGAGGUGGUGUAAGAUGGGCCCGCGUCUGAUUAGGUAGUUGGUGGGGUAGAAGCCUACCAAGCCGACGAUCAGUAGCCGACCUGAGAGGGUGACCGGCCACAUUGGGACUGAGACACGGCCCAAACUCCUACGGGAGGCAGCAGUGGGGAAUAUUGCACAAUGGGGGAAACCCUGAUGCAGCGACGCCGCGUGAGUGAGGAAGUAUUUCGGUAUGUAAAGCUCUAUCAGCAGGGAAGAAAAUGACGGUACCUGACUAAGAAGCCCCGGCUAACUACGUGC
rnacentral:rRNA from 1 species